GUGGUAAUUCAGUGGUAGAAUUCUUGCCUUCCGUGUAGGAGGCCCUGGUUCGAUUCUUGGCCAAUACA
rnacentral:tRNA from 1 species